AUGGAAGCGGACGGUUUCGUGUCCCGCCGAACGUCCGUGGAAACACCGGGCGUCGAAAGCCGGGUUACUGGCGCUGCAGCCGGUGCAGGGUUUCGAUGGAUGGGCGGAAGGCUCCUGGACACCACGGGAGGAUUUGUUGGGUCUCUUUCACCGAGAAUGGCCGGGGAACAGGGCUUUGCUCCGGUGUUGCAUCGAGCAACUCCCGAAACCUCGACCUCCAUCGAGCCAGAAAUAGACUACGAAGGGCUACCACAGGAAGCAGCCACCACCACACACAUGUUGGCUGGAGCCGUGGCUGGAAUCAUGGAGCACUGCCUUAUGUACCCCAUCGACUGUGUUAAGACUCGCAUGCAGAGCCUGCACCCCGAGCCAGGGGCGCGCUACAGGAACGUGAUGGACGCCCUUCGGCAGAUUGUGCGGACGGAGGGUGUGUGGCGGCCAAUCAGAGGUGUGAAUGUGCUGGCGGUGGGGGCGGGGCCUGCCCAUGCUCUCUACUUUGCCUGCUACGAGAAGAUCAAGUUCUCGCUGAGUGACGCCAUUCACCCCGGAGUCAACAGCCACUUUGCAAAUGGAGUGGCGGGCUGCAUGGCCACAGUGCUGCACGACGCCGCCAUGAACCCAGCCGAAGUUGUGAAACAGCGAAUGCAGAUGUUCAACUCUCCUUACCGUGGCGUGCUGGACUGCGUGGGGUCUUUGUGGCGGCACGACGGCCCGGCCGCUUUCUACCGCAGCUACACCACCCAGCUGACCAUGAACGUGCCCUUCCAGGCGCUCCACUUCAUCACCUACGAGUACCUCCAGGAGCUCCUCAACCCCCACAGACAGUACAACCCUUCCUCCCACGUUGUGUCGGGCGCGCUGGCCGGAGCCCUGGCCGCCGCGGCCACCACGCCCCUCGACGUCUGCAAGACCCUCCUCAACACGCAGGAGGCUCAGGCCAUCCACGUGAUCCAGGCCGAGGCCGCAACGGCAUCCGGGGCGGUUGGGGCGGCCGCUGCCUCCGGCAGCCGCCACAUCUCUGGCCUCUGCGAGGCCUUUCGGACGGUGUACAGAACGGGAGGCAUGCCUGCCUUCUUCAAAGGCGUCCAGGCCCGCAUCAUCUACCAGAUGCCCUCCACGGCCAUCAGCUGGUCCGUCUACGAGUUCUUCAAAUACAUCAUCACUAAGCGCCAGCACGAGAGACGGCUGCGCGGGGAUCGUGACGGCGACAAAUAAACACCGCGCCAUGAGAUUGGGUAUCGGCAACGCAACGGUUUAUUGCAAUCGAUCGCGGUUCAAUCGGUAUUGAUCACUAAACAUCUAAAGGUUUAAAAAAAAAAAAAAAAAAGCUCCUGAACUUUAGAUUCUUUGAGCAAACUUGUUUCCUGAGAUCUAUUAAGCACGGUCAGCUCUAGUUCACAGCAGGUGAGGACACGUACACCUAGGAGGCAAAUAGUCUUAAAUUCUUCCUUUCUAGAUGUUGACGAAAUGUCCGUCAAUACCUAUCGGUAAGAAAAGAGCCUCGAAGGGGUUGACGGGAAGUUCCUGAUUCCUAAACUCGCCCCACUAAAUGAUGACGCUUUAACUAUUUUUCAUUUUAGUGUUCAACUUGACAAACUCCCUAUGUUGGCUUUCAAAAAGCUUCUUAUUCAUGGAGGGUAAGGCAGAGUAAAAGCAAAGUUGUAUUUGGCCACUUGAUCAAAGAAAUGCUCUCUUCCCCUCAACCAGCGACAGCGCAGUUUGUUAGCGUUUUAGACUUUGUUUUGGCUCUGAACUCAAGUACACUGGAUAAAGAAAGAAACUAUGACUCUUAAGUUAAAGUGCUGACUUUGAGCUUUAGUUCGAUGGUGUUUACUUUCACUUCCAAUGAACUGUGUAGAAAUGAUAGCAUUUUUGUCAUACGUACCCGCCAAAAGGAUAAAAAGGGCUAGCAAUCCUACAUUGAUGGGGAAAGUCAGCACUUUAACCUCAUAGUUACAAUCCAGUGCGUUUUGAGUACAGAGCCAAGACGAAAAUUCAUCACAAUCAAAGUUCUAAGAACUGCACCAUGAGCUGAGCUACACCCCUCUCUGAAAUGUUGCACUGCUGCAAGGUAUUAUUGCCAUAAUACACUCUGACCACGUGGUGGCGUACAGCUCAACGGCAAAACAAUGGAGAAAUAACUGGAGGUUACACAAUCAGCCAUAUCAAAAUAGUUUGAAUACUUGUGCUGGUGUUAAGUAACACUCUACUUACAUUUUUUUUUUCUUAAAUGAAACUAGAAAUUACUCAAAUCCCUCAGUCAUGAAGGCGACACAUUGCCUGUAAUUCUUUUUUUGUAGGUCAAAAAUUAUUUCUGGAUAAAAAAUACUCCAGUAUUCAACACUUGAGUGGAACGGAGUGUGUGUGUGUGUGUGUGUGUGUGUGUGUGUGUGUGUUACAGUGACUGGAUGAGCGGAGGUGGACUGGAUCCGUUUGAUAGAGCUCGGCCGCGACUCUGACCCGAUCCGGUCUCAGCACGGCCUAACUGAGCUAUCCACUUUGCGUUGUCCUUCAAAGGAAAAACGCACAAACAUAACAUAUUUAGCUUUCUUUCUGGUGAGCGUCUGACCACAGUGCAAUUUCUUUUGAAGGACCGUAUGAAAGAGGUUAUUGCUUUAACGGUCUCAUGUUGUCACUUCUGUAUCUUUGCGGGUUGCUUUCAAAUUCACGCACACGUGAAGGAUUGUCUCUGGGUGGAGCCACGGACACAUCACUGACAGGCUUGUAGACUCGUGCUGAAAGUCUACAGAUCCUCCCUCCUGGAAGGUAGCAACAAAGGAAUACCUGGAUUCUUUUAAAUUCAGACAUACGAGUAUGGAGAAAAAGUUAAACGGCUAAGGAGUAUUUAUAAAAAAAUGAUUGUGUUGCUCAUGUGAAGCCAAGUUUCAGGAUCGGGGAAACCAAAGACUGAGAGUGCUAGAGACCGAGACAGCAGAGGAACUGUUGGUUUGUCAGAGGACGACACUAAUGUGAAAAGCUUGAACACUGUCUGUCUGAGAGCGACACCUGUAUUUUGUGAAUUGUAAAUAAACUCGCUAAGGCAGCUCCUCGCAGAAGCAGGGUCUUCUCUUGGUGCUGGCUCAUCAAGCGCUGACAGAACUUA